UUUGAAAUUUUUUUUUUUUUUUUUUGUUGGGUAUUAGUUACCACUACCACUUGUAAAUCUCGUAUUUAUGAUUUGUCUGUUGAACAACAUGGAGGUCAAAGUGGAAGAAAGUGGUUGGAGAAUCACAGGGAUGGAGGGCUAUUUUUGUGUGUGCAUUAUGUUUAACAUUCAGUAAUCAUGUGUUUUGUCAUAAUGAUUCUAUUCAUAGUUUAUUAUUGAACUGACUGUGCAUGGAACUUCAAUUAAAAACAGACUUAUCAAAGUUUAACAUUAGCAGCUGUUGACUUGUUGUUCUUUAGUCACUUUUGAAUGCUCCACUUUGAGGAAACAUUUAUUAUUUUGUAAGCAGGAAUUAAAGGUAUAUAUAAUGAACCCAUUCUUUAUUAAGCUUCAGUGUUUAAAUGAGCAAAUAGCAUAUAAAGUCAUCUUGUAUUAAGUGUCUCAUAGGUUACUAUAAACUUGAUUAAAUUCAAUUCCACA